rnacentral:rRNA from 1 species
GAGUUUGAUCCUGGCUCAGAUUGAACGCUGGCGGCAUGCCUAACACAUGCAAGUCGAACGGAAACGAUGGAAGCUUGCUUCCAGGCGUCGAGUGGCGGACGGGUGAGUAAUACUUAGGAAUCUGCCCAUUAGUGGGGGACAACUCGGGGAAACUCGAGCUAAUACCGCAUACGCCCUACGGGGGAAAGCGGAGGACCUUUCGGGGCUUCGCGCUAAUGGAUGAGCCUAAGUCGGAUUAGCUAGUUGGUGAGGUAAAGGCUCACCAAGGCGACGAUCCGUAGCUGGUCUGAGAGGACGAUCAGCCACACUGGGACUGAGACACGGCCCAGACUCCUACGGGAGGCAGCAGUGGGGAAUAUUGGACAAUGGGCGCAAGCCUGAUCCAGCAAUGCCGCGUGUGUGAAGAAGGCCUGCGGGUUGUAAAGCACUUUCAGUAGAGAAGAAAAGUUUAGGGUUAAUACCCCUGGAUCUUGACGUUACCUACAGAAGAAGCUCCGGCUAACUCCGUGCCAGCAGCCGCGGUAAUACGGAGGGAGCGAGCGUUAAUCGGAAUUACUGGGCGUAAAGCGCGCGUAGGCGGCUUUGUAAGUCGGAUGUGAAAGCCCUGGGCUCAACCUGGGAAUUGCAUUCGAUACUGCAGAGCUAGAGUAUGGUAGAGGGAAGUGGAAUUUCCGGUGUAGCGGUGAAAUGCGUAGAUAUCGGAAGGAACACCAGUGGCGAAGGCGACUUCCUGGGCCNAUACUGACGCUGAAGUGCGAAAGCGUGGGGAGCAAACAGGA